CAAUGGUAUCUGCUAAAGCUGCCAGCAUGAUCUAAACAUUUGUCUUCCUCCAUUGUUGAUGAAAGAUUAGAUCAUGUGGUAGCUUCAUCUGAUCCCCUU
rnacentral:pre_miRNA from 1 species